AGAGAGAGACAUGCGCGCAUAUCAAUAAGCGGAGGAAAAGAAACUAACAAGGAUUCCCUUAGUAACGGCGAGUGAAGCGGGAAGAGCUCAAAUUUGAAAUCUUCAAGGUUUUACCUUGACGGAAUUGUAGUUUAAAGAAGUGUUUUCUGCUGAAGUUUUGGUAAAAGUUCUUUGGAAUAGGACAUCAUAGAGGGUGAGAAUCCCGUAUUUGACCAUUAUUUUCAGCUUUGUGAUACACUUUCAAGGAGUCGGAUUGUUUGGGAAUGCAGUCCAAAAUGGGUGGUAAAUUUCAUCUAAAGCUAAAUAUUGGCGAGAGACCGAUAGCGAACAAGUACCGUGAGGGAAAGAUGAAAAGAACUUUGAAAAGAGAGUUAAACAGUACGUGAAAUUGUCAAAAGGGAAGCGUUUGACACCAGUGUUGUUUUCUCGAAAAUCAAUUAAAAAUGGCUCGAUUUUGUAUUGCUGAGACCUUAAAAGCUCACUGUACAUUCUUCGUGUCUUUUUUAAUGCACUUUUCGUUUAACAAGUCAACAUCAGUUUCUUUUGUUGUAAAAGGGUCAUUGGAAGGUGGCUUUCUUUUCGGAGAAAGUGUUUAUAGCCUUUGGCCUCUGCAAUCGAAGAGACUGAGGUCUGCAGCGUAGACUCUUCGGGGUUAGAUACAUUUGUGCUAAGUUAUAGCUUUUUAUAGACAACUUGUUGACUAUGAAUUAGUCAUUGUAGCUUACUCGCUUAUGCUAUUUUACCUACGCUUAGGAUGUUGAAGAUGUAGCACAUCAU
rnacentral:rRNA from 1 species